GUUCGAACUGAGCUCUGUACGGCAGGAGCGGGGGACCCACAGGUAAGUCGCCGGAUCGGAGUUCGCGCUUUUCACGGCGCGGACGUCCAGGACCGGCUCGGGGUGAAGCCGCACAUGCGGCCGGGCAACUCCAGCCCGAACCCGACAGCUCACCUCGCAGGCGUCGGAGAGGAAAAUC
rfam:Streptomyces aureofaciens strain ATCC 10762 contig_13, whole genome shotgun sequence.